rnacentral:rRNA from 1 species
AUUGAACGCUGGCGGCAAGCCUAACACAUGCAAGUCGAACGGAUGGCGGACGGGUGAGUAAUGUCGGGACAACUGCCUGAUGGACGGGGCAAACUACUGGAAACGUUAGCUAAUACCGCAUAACAUCCGAUGUGCCCAGCUGGGAUUAGCUAGUCGGUGGGGUAAAGGCUCACCGAGGCGACGCUCCCUAGCUGGUCUGAGAGGGUGACCGGCCACACUGGAACUGAGACACGGCCCAGACUCCUACGGGAGGCAGCAGUGGGGAAUAUUGCACAAUGGGCGCAAGCCUGAGGCAGCCAUGCCGCGUGUAUGAAGAAGGCCUUCGGAUCGUAAAGUACUUUCAGCGGGGAGGCGGUACCCGAAGAAGAAGCACCGGCUAACUCCGUGCCAGCAGCCGCGGUAAUAC